CUGCGCUGGUGCUGGUGCAGAGAACAUCGUUUCUUGGGGACGAGGCCGAGGCAGGCGUGCUGAAAAUCCGCUCCAGCUGCGCUCCGCACCCGCAUACGUGGAACCAGGACGUAGGGCAUCAGCUGUCCUGAAACGGGGUGGGGGUCCCUUCCUUGCCAAGGGAAAGGUGACAGCCCCUGGCUGUCUGUGCAUUUCCCCCAGCCGAUGGGGACGGCCUGCUGAUGGAGGGUUUUAGAAAACCUCCUUCCCCUCAAGUGAGUGUCCAGCUGCUGGUCCUGCUCCUGUUCUUUAUUUCCAGCUACUCCAGGGGGGCUUUCUCUCAACCUUAGCUCCUAGAACCCCACACCUGGAGGGCUGAGGGCUCUUCUAUUUCCUUCAUAUUCCCAGGCUCACUCCCUCUGACACUGCAGGCCAAUCAUUUGGCUUCUGCUGCCUUUCUCUUCCCACGAAAGGGAUUAGGGGAGAUAAUUCUCCAAGAAAUCUCAAGUGGUUUCAAUCAAAAGCGAGUUUUGAUUCUUCAUCUCUUUUCUUGCAGCUAUUUUGAGUUUUGUGCACCUUGGUUUGCAGAGGCUCAUAAAAAUGCAUGAGUUUCCAGCCUCACAGGUGAGGGCAGAGGUUUCCAAAGAGCAAAGUGGGUUCUGCCUGAGGUAGAGUCAGUAAUCAGUGUUGUUGGCCUUUGGCUCUAUCCACCUUGCCUGCUCUGAGGAGGUCUGUAGUGCGAAUGGAGACACAGACAUGCCUUGUGGUUCCUGUAUUCCAAGAAGAAAGGUUCUCUGCAGGCUCACUCUCCAACCUCCUUUUCCAGCAGGUACCAGAGUCCGUGAAACAAAGCAGUCUGAGGUCUUGGUCUCUUUGGAGUGUUUUCGAGAGAUCUGCAGUUGUCCUGGGUAAGUCAGGCCACGUAGUGGAAGACACGGGAGAUUCAGCUUGGAGCUGUCAGGACCAUAGCAGACUACUAAGGUGCCUUUAUAUAUAACUAGGUAUUCUCCAGGGCGUGUGUGUGUGUGUGUGAAAAUGGGACUGGAUCAAAUUUCGUUUGGGAAAUUCUGCAUUAAAAACCUGCAUUAAAAAAAAAAACUUGCAUUAAGAGACAGGUUUCUUCAGCCUUUAAUAUUGAGAUUUUAUUGUGAAUCUCUUCAGAGGGGUACAUAAUAAUAGGAAGCUUUUCCCAAGCAUCUUUGACCUGGGAAUUCUUCCUCACUGGGAAUCUCUAACAUUUCAAAGGGCACUAAAAUUCCACAAAACCCAGUUUGGGAGAAUGCCGUUUGGAGAAGUCAGAGAAGCCCCAGCUGUCCAGGGUCACCAGCUCCAGUGACACUCAGGUCCUAGCCCAAUGGGCUUCACAUUUGGAGACCUACCUAGUGGGAAUUAACACAAAGGUUUGCUAAGAGUACAUAAAUGCAAGGAUUAAAAAAAAAAUUCUAGGUCCACCACUUCCAUGGGCACAUUUGCCUCUAAUUGCUCUGCAGAGAGCCGGGUGGCAGUGAGCCAUUCCUGCAGGAUGUGGAGCCUCUUUUCUGUUCUUCUUGCACACUGGCUGCCCUUCUUAUGAUGCUCCAUUGCCCCAGGAUACGCAGCUCUCUGGGGUGCCUGAC
ensembl:lncRNA